rnacentral:rRNA from 1 species
AUACGAAGGGGGCAAGCGUUGUUCGGAAUAACUGGGCGUAAAGCGCACGUAGGCGGAAUGUUAAGUUAGAGGUGAAAUCCCAGCGCUCAACCCUGGAACGGCCUUUAAUACUGGCAAUCUAGAGACCGAGAGAGGUGAGUGGAAUUCCGAGUGUAGAGGUGAAAUUCGUAGAUAUUCGGAGGAACACCAGUGGCGAAGGCGGCUCACUGGCUCGGUACUGACGCUGAGGUGCGAAAGCGUGGGGAGCAAACAGGAUUAGAAACCCUAGUAGUCC